rnacentral:lncRNA from 1 species
CCAUGGAGACAAGGGCUGGCUGGAGGCGACAGGACGGAAGGGGAGCGUCUAACUUGUGGUCGUUUUCAGAGAAUAAAUAACAGCAGUUGUUGGUGGAAAAAAGAGACGAAUGAAAGACACGUAGAUCUGACACUUGAGUCAAGAUUCCCAGGCUGGGUGCUGGGUGGGUGAGAAGCCCACUGCAUCAUGGCAUGUGUGUAAUAGAACAAGUUUUUCUCCUCUUCUUUCCCGAAGGGGAUAAGGACAUGUCAUAUGAUGGGGAGACCUGUCUACACUCCUUCUUGGUUAUGUUUCUCAGUCAACUCAGUAACUCCCGUCUCAAGUAUCUCAAGCUGGAGCUGAUAUAGCUGAAUGUGGGAUCACAGAGGCAAACUCUGAACCACUGACAGUCAAGGGGAAAAACUCUGCAAGGGGUGGCAGGGAGGAAACACGGCCUGGCCACAUCCUUUGAUUUCAGAUAAUAGAUUUAUUUUUAAUACACAGAAAGUAGAAAUUCUAAUCUUCUAAGUUGGAAGGCGACCCAGACUUCCCUUCCUCCUUUAUCUUGUUUAUCCCCGACUCCAAGCUACUGCUUUCCUAAUGCUUCCGGCUUCAGACUUACAAAAAAAUCACACUGAUGCAGCCUGACCCUCAGAUGACUCAUUUCACUUGAAAAACUGGUUCUAAGGACUGCACCUACUUUACAAGUUACUAUGGGAAAUAACAGACUGGAAGGAAUUCAAUUCCACGUUUCUUCAUUGAGUGUGUCUGCAAAGAUCCAUGUGAAAUAGUGGUAAGGUUACCACAAAGUGCUUUCAGUAAAGGUCUUAUGUUUCCCCAGAGCUGGUACUCUAGGGAGUCAGGUAGAGGAUGACACAGGACACUAGGGAGAGAAGAGAAAUGAGCAGGAGCAACAAAAUAGGGUAGGACCUCAGAGAAGGAACAAGGUGUGGAGUCAUAAAGGGGUUCAGGAAAGUUUUCAGAGAGGAUGCUAAGAGGCAGCUAAAGCAGAAAGAGUAGAUAGGCUUUGGUGAGAAGGGCCAAGUAUCCCACACCGAAGACGCAAGCAUAAAAUCAUGAGAGUGAGGGGCUCUGCCGGAUGUGCAGUGGCCAGGCACACGGUGCCUGAGGUGAGGAGGCAGGGUGCAAGGGUAGGGCGUGGCCGUGGGGCCUCAGACGUCACGCUAACAAGUUUGGGCUCCUUUGCGUAGGUUGUACGAAGCUGCUUGAAGGAGUGACUUCAGAACAAUGUUAUUUGCAGAGAUGAGAGAUGACAGGCAACAAGACCAGUUAGGACUAAUAUGUGGAAUUUAAUAAAAAAUGAUACAAAAGAACUUCUAAAAGAGAAAAAGACUCAAAGACUUAGAUCAAACUUAUGGCUACCAAAGGGGAGACCUGGGGGUGGGAAGGAUAAAUCUGGAGUUUGGGAUUAGCAGAUACACACUACUGUAUAUAAAAUAGAAAAUCAACAAGGACCUACUGCGGAGUGCAGGGAGAUCUAGUCAAUAUUCUGUAAUAAUCUCUACAGAAAAGAAUCUGAAAAAGAAUAAGUAAGAACAUGUGUAACUGAAUCGCUUCGUGAUACACAUGAAACGAACGCAACAUGCAAGUCAACUAUGCUCCAGAGCUUCCUUUAAAACAGUUGACAGGCAUUGACCUUCUCCGUCCUUUCCGAGAAGGACUGACAGCGACCUGACCAAAGAAGGUAGGGGCUCAGGGAGAAAGAGAGGGUGAAUAGGAGGACUCGAGAGCACAGGAAGGGAAGCACAGCUUUCCAAUGUCCUCAAACCCUUCUGCACGCCUCUGAGGAAGAAGAGCAAAUCUCCCUUCAACCACAGACCCCGCAGAGACAGGAGACGCCGCAGACAAAGAGCAAACUACUGGCCACAGACUGGCCACCACUAGUGGAGCUCGUCCUUUUGCUGAUGGCUCCAUAAGCUUUCAGAACCCUAAAGUUUGUAUCUUCUUCCCCAGGAAGCCAGUGGACUGAAUCAAGGGUCAUAAAUAUUCUUUAACUGCACCCAAAAUUAUAUUAGCUGUCACUGACCGACACAAGAGGAAUACAAUCUUUUGUAAGCUUCCAUAAUUAUUUACUGAAAGUGAAAAUAUGCUGGGCCAUAAAACACAUCUCAAGGAAUUUCAAAACAUUGAAGUUGUAAAGAGUAUGUAAUGUGGCCACAGUGGGAAUAAGCUAGAAAUCAAUUUGAAAAAUACAGCCAGGAACUGCCAAAUAUUGGGAAUUAAGUAAUGCACUCGAAGAAAAGUUAUGAGUUAAAGAGUCAAUCUCAAAGGGAAUUAGAAACAUAUUUUUACUAAAGCAUAAUGAAAAUACAACAGAGCAAAACUUGUGGGGUGAAGUCAAAACUAUACUUAGAAGGAAAUUUAUACACUCAAAUGUAUAUGUUACAAAAGAAGAAAGGUUAAAAAUUAAAUAAUGCCUGUAAGUAGCCAAGGAGUUUGAAGAUCAAAACCCAUCAGACGCAAAGGGAAUAGAAGGAAAGAAACAAUAGAGGUAAGAGUAGAAAUUAAUGCAUAAAACUCAAAUAUCCAAUAGAGGUAAAAGUCCAAAAGUAGGUUUUCUUGUAGGAGUAGUAAAAUGGUUAUGUUCCCGACAAGACUGAGAAAGUAAGAGAGAGAGGGAGAGAGAGGAGACAAAUACACCAAAAUUAGCAAUGUCGCCAAAAAGGGAAAAUCACUAGAGAAUUCAUAGGUCUGGAAGAUAUUAAGGGCUAUUAUGUAUAAUCCUUAUACCAGCAAAUUUGAAUGGAUUGAGGGACAGAAAAUCACCUGUGAUUUGAUCUAUAGACGCAACAAAAUCUCAAUAAAAAUACCAUCCGGUGUUUCAGAACUAUGACUAUCCAAGACGAUCUUGAAAAAGAAUAACAAAAUUGGAGAACUUGUACUAGAAGAUAUCAAGCUUACUAUGCAGCUACAGUUGUUGAAUAGUCAGUUACGGAUGAACAAAGAAAACCUAGAAAAGGGCCCAUUCAUAUGCAUUCAUUUAACAUAAAUUUAAGAUGACAAGGUAAUAUAGUAGGAAAAGUCUGAUCUUUCCAACAAGGGCUGCAGCGUUAGGAGUUCCUGCUGUAGCACAGUAGGAUCAGCGGUGUUUUGGGAGUGCUGGGAUGCGGGUUUGAUCCGGGCCGGGCAAAGUGGGUUAAGGCUCUUGUAUUGCCACAACUGAGGCUUAAGUUGAGACUAGGGCUUGGAUCUCAUCCCUGGCCCAGGAACUCCAUAUGCCUCAGGGUGCCAAAAAUGGGGAAAAAAAAAAAAAGCUACAGAAUUAAAGGAGUGUCCCUGUUUUCUGAAUACAUGUUGACUCCUGCUUCAUACUAUACACAAAAAUAAAUUACAGAUGGGUUGUAGGUUUAGCAUGAAAUGUAAAGUAUCUUUAUGACCUUGGAGUAGGCAAACAUUUCUUCAACAGAAUGCAGAAUGUGCUACCCAGAAAGUGGUGGGCAGAUAAACUUUCCUACCUUAAAAUUAAGAACUUCUGUUCAUGAUAAGAUACUAUUAAGGACUUGGAAAUACAAACUACAAAGCGAGUAAAGAUUCUGUAACACACAGCUCAAACCAGAGACUUAACCAAAUAAAUGAAGAAUUUCUGCCUAUCUAUAAGAAAAAACAAAGACAGACUAUUUUUUAAAAGCUGAACUUGAAAUGGUACUUGACAGAAGAGUGUAUCCAAGUAGCCAAUAAACAUACGAAGAUGUAUGAGAAGAUGCUCAAACUCAGCAGGGGAAUGAAAAGAAAAUUAAGUAAUAUACAUAUUCACCAGAACAGCUAUAGUUAUUAAAAAAAAAAAAACAGAAAAAAAAAAGAAAAG